rnacentral:tRNA from 1 species
AUUCUAGUGGUUAGGAUUCUUGGCUUUCACCCAGGCGAUCCGGGUUCGAUUCCCGG